rnacentral:piRNA from 1 species
UGUUUUCGUUCCGAAGGUACCACG